rnacentral:rRNA from 1 species
GACGAACGCUGGCGGCGUGCUUAACACAUGCAAGUCGAACGGAAAGGCCCUGCUUUUGUGGGGUGCUCGAGUGGCGAACGGGUGAGUAACACGUGAGUAACCUGCCCUUGACUUUGGGAUAACUUCAGGAAACUGGGGCUAAUACCGGAUAGGAGCUCCUGCUGCAUGGUGGGGGUUGGAAAGUUUCGGCAGUUGGGGAUGGACUCGCGGCUUAUCAGCUUGUUGGUGGGGUAGUGGCUUACCAAGGCUUUGACGGGUAGCCGGCCUGAGAGGGUGACCGGCCACAUUGGGACUGAGAUACGGCCAGACUCCUACGGGAGGCAGCAGUGGGGAAUAUUGCACAAUGGGCGGAAGCCUGAUGCAGCAACGCCGCGUGCGGGAUGACGGCCUUCGGGUUGUAAACCGCUUUCGCCUGUGACGAAGCGUGAGUGACGGUAAUGGGUAAAGAAGCACCGGCUAACUACGUG